AUGUACCCUAAUUAGCAUAGGAUAUUUCAAUUUUUCUUUCUCAAUUUACGUGCAAAAUCGAUGCCAUUCGUGUUGCAGUUCAUCUCGAUAAUUCCAUGAUUCAUCUGUGUCAAAGUAAUGGCUACAUCG
rfam:Medicago truncatula strain A17 chromosome 1, whole genome shotgun sequence.